GAUGAACGCUGGCGGCGUGCCUAAUACAUGCAAGUAGAACGCUGAAGGAGGAGCUUGCUCUUCUGGACGAGUUGCGAACGGGUGAGUAACGCGUAGGUAACCUGCCUGGCACCUGGGGAUAACUAUUGGAAACGAUAGCUAAUACCGCAUGACAACAGUUAUUGCAUGAUAACUGUUUAAAAGGGGCAACUGCUCCACUACCAGAUGGACCUGCGUCGUAUUAGCUAGUUGGUGAGGUAACGGCUCACCAACGCGACGAUACAUAGCCGACCUGAGAGGGGGUACGGCCCCUCUGGGACUGAGACGCGGCCCAGACUCCUACGGGCGGCCGCGGUAGGGAAGCUUCGGCGAUGGACGGAAGUUUGACCGAGCAGCGCCGCGUGAGUGAAGAAGGUUUUCGGAUCGUAAAGCUCUGUUGUGAGAGAAGACCGAGUGUGAGAGUGGAAAGUUCACUCUGUGACGGUAUCUUACCAGAAAGGGACGGCUAACUACGUG
rnacentral:rRNA from 1 species